rnacentral:rRNA from 1 species
UACGUAGGGGGCAAGCGUUGUCCGGAUUUAUUGGGCGUAAAGCGCUCGCAGGUGGUCCGCUGCGUCGUGCGUGAAAGACCCCGGCUCAACUGGGGAGUGUCGUGCGAUACGGGCGGACUGGAGGCCAGUAGGGGGAUGCGGAAUUCCGGGUGUAGUGGUGGAAUGCGUAGAGAUCCGGAGGAACACCAGCGGCGAAGGCGGCAUCCUGGACUGGUCCUGACACUCAGGAGCGAAAGCGUGGGGAGCGAGCCGG